rnacentral:rRNA from 1 species
AGCAGUAGCCACGGGAAUACGGAGGAUCCAAGCGUUAUCCGGAAUCAUUGGGUUUAAAGGGUCCGUAGGCGGUCUUGUAAGUCAGUGGUGAAAGCCCAUCGCUCAACGGUGGAACGGCCAUUGAUACUGCAGGACUUGAAUUAUUGGGAAGUAACUAGAAUAUGUAGUGUAGCGGUGAAAUGCUUAGAGAUUACAUGGAAUACCAAUUGCGAAGGCAGGUUACUACCAAUUGAUUGACGCUGAUGGACGAAAGCGUGGGUAGCGAACAGGAUUAGUACCCGCGUAGUCCCUGUCUCUUAUACA